UGGGUAGAGGCUCACCUUUCAAAAGUCGUGAAACCAAAAGUUCGUAAGCCGGAUGACUUAUCUUGUGACUAACCAAAACUUUAUUCACCAUCGGUAUAAAAAUCGAAUAAUCAUACCCAAGUUGCGAUACUAUAGCACAAAGAGUAUCCAUAAUAACUGCUCUCAAAUCGCCAUUAGAUUUCCCUAGCAUGCGAACCAAUGGAUGAAUGAUUCGAGAGGCAUGAUCCGAGAAAUUAACAGAUUGAAAUAAUUGGGCAAUGCAUUUGAGGGCACUCUUCCUGAAUCCAAGGGGUAUAGUAUCACGCUCAAAACUUCUAAUUAUAACUGGUAGAACAAGAUGCAUGUAUUCUUCAAUAUUAGAACCAAAUAUAACAAAUGAUUGUAAAACUUUGUAUGAAACGGAACGGGAAG